AUUGAACGCUGGCGGCAGGCCUAACACAUGCAAGUCGAGCGGGGUUUUCGGGCCUAGCGGCGGACGGGUGAGUAAUGCGUAGGAAGCUACCCGAUAGAGGGGGAUACCAGUUGGAAACGACUGUUAAUACCGCAUAAUGUCUACGGACCAAAGUGUGGGACCUUCGGGCCACAUGCUAUCGGAUGCGCCUACGUGGGAUUAGCUAGUUGGUGAGGUAAUGGCUCACCAAGGCGACGAUCCCUAGCUGGUUUGAGAGGAUGAUCAGCCACACUGGAACUGAGACACGGUCCAGACUCCUACGGGAGGCAGCAGUGGGGAAUAUUGGACAAUGGGCGCAAGCCUGAUCCAGCCAUGCCGCGUGUGUGAAGAAGGCCUUCGGGUUGUAAAGCACUUUCAGCGAGGAGGAAGGGGUGAGUGUUAAUAGUACUCAUCUCUGACGUUACUCGCAGAAGAAGCACCGGCUAACUCUGUGCCAGCCGCCGCCGUAAUAC
rnacentral:rRNA from 1 species